AAUUUUACUUUGUUCAUAUUAUUUGCGGGGCUUUCUCUGGGUUCUGCUGAUGGUGGCCCAUUGACUCAAGGAGGUGGGUGCUUUCUUGAUUCUAUACAAACUUCUCAGUCUUCCCCAUCCCCCAUCCAAGCUCCCCUGUUGUCUUUCAGUCAUUGUGACAAAGCAUCGUCAAUCAUCAACUCCCUUCACCAAGAGUGCCUGGGUCACAGCCCACUUAUAUAAAGGGGUGAUGGGUGGACAUAUUUGAACCAAUGGACUGGGGUGAGGACGGUGGAUGAUAGGAAGGACACAGGCUGUUGUUUCAGCCACGACCUCGCUGAUGGCCAGAACUGGGGAACGUGAGAAGAUGUCGAAAGUCGGCAGAUUCGAGUGUGCUACCUGUAACCAGAAGGAUUCCCCACAGAGGCAAAAAUCAAAGAAAUUAGACCAGAAAAGGAGCAAAAAGACAAGUCAAUCACACAUGUCAUUGUUAUGGCUGAAGACACUGCUUGAAUCUGUGGUUUACAAAGUCAUGAUUCCCACGGCUGGCACAGAGACAACCCCUUUCUACAUCAGGCCCAAGAACACCAUAAUCAUUAUGGAUUUUUCCUCUCCACCCAAGGUCUCUAAAUAAAGUUCCUCUCAUUUCUCUGAAAAGAAAA